rnacentral:rRNA from 1 species
GAUGAACGCUGGCGGCGUGCUUAACACAUGCAAGUCGAACGGAAAGGCCCAAGCUUGCUUGGGUACUCGAGUGGCGAACGGGUGAGUAACACGUGGGUGAUCUGCCCUGCACUUCGGGAUAAGCCUGGGAAACUGGGUCUAAUACCGGAUAGGACCACUUCUUGGAUGUUGUGGUGGAAAGUUUUUUCGGUGUGGGAUGAGCUCGCGGCCUAUCAGCUUGUUGGUGGGGUAAUGGCCUACCAAGGCGUCGACGGGUAGCCGGCCUGCGAGGGUGUACGGCGACAUUGGGACUGAGAUACGGCCCAGACUCCUACGCGAGGCAGCAGUGGGGAAUCUUGCACAAUGGGCGCAAGCCUGAUGCAGCGACGCCGCGUGGGGGAUGACGGCCUUCGGGUUGUAAGCUCCUUUCGCUAGGGACGAAGCGUUUUGUGACGGUACCUGGAGAAGAAGCACCGGCUAACUACGUG